AUUUUGUUGGCAGGCUAACAAGGCAGCUCUUCUCCAGCAGUCUGGCCAACAUGCUGUAGGUGAGAUGGGAAUGCAAGAUCUUACACGAGUCCUCUCUGUAUGAGAAGUCUGCAGAGUAAAUAAAAGGUUAAGAUCCAGUUACCAGUAGGGAGCUCAAGACAACAGAAAUAUCAGGGGAGGUUUUCCACUUGUAAAUAGUGAACAUUUUCUCUUGAAGUCCGUGGAUGAGAUAUCUUCAUAAUCUGAAUGCUAAAGUUGAAAAGGAAAAAGCAAGUCUUCACAGAAUCAAAGAAUGGUUUAAUUUGGAACCGUUGGAGGUUAACUGGUCCAACUUCCCUCCUGAAGCAGAGAAAAAUUCUGAUAGGAUUCUCCAUAGAUGCUAAGGUCAAGCUCCAAAUGCCUGCUCAUCAAGUACUUUCAUCUACAUACAAUACAGUAGUC
rnacentral:lncRNA from 1 species